rnacentral:rRNA from 1 species
GGAGGAAAAGAAACUAACAAGGAUUCCCCUAGUAACGGCGAGUGAAGCGGGAAGAGCUCAAAUUUGAAAUCUGGUAGCCUUCGGUUGCCCGAGUUGUAAUCUAGAGAAGUGUUUUCCGCGUUGGCCCAUGUACAAGUCCCUUGGAACAGGGCGUCAUAGAGGGUGAGAAUCCCGUCCUUGACAUGGACCCCCAAUGCUUUGUGAUACACUUUCAACGAGUCGAGUUGUUUGGGAAUGCAGCUCAAAAUGGGUGGUGAAUUCCAUCUAAAGCUAAAUAUUGGCGAGAGACCGAUAGCGAACAAGUACCGUGAGGGAAAGAUGAAAAGCACUUUGGAAAGAGAGUUAAACAGUACGUGAAAUUGUUGAAAGGGAAACGAUUGAAGUCAGUCAUGCUCUUUGGAUUAAGCCGUUCUGCGGUGUAUUUCAUUGAGCGGGGUCAACAUCAGUUUUGAUCGCUGGAAAAGGGCAGGAGGAAGGUAGCACUCUCGGGUGAACUUAUAGCCUCUUGUCGUAUACAGUGAUUGGGACUGAGGAACGCAGCAUGCCUUUUGGCCGGGAUUCGUCCACGUACAUGCUUAGGAUGUUGACAUAAUGGCUUUAAACGACCCG